GAACUGAAGAGUUUGAUCCUGGCUCAGAUUGAACGCUGGCGGCAUGCCUUACACAUGCAAGUCGGACGGCAGCGGGGGCUUCGGCCUGCCGGCGAGUGGCGAACGGGUGAGUAAAGCAUCGAAACGUGUCCGGAUGAGGGGGAUAGCCCGGCGAAAGCCGGAUUAAUACCGCAUGAGUCCUGAGGGAGAAAGCGGGGGACCAGAGAUGGCCUCGCGCGUUCGGAGCGGUCGAUGUCGGAUUAGCUGGUUGGCGGGGUAAAUGCCCACCAAGGCGACGAUCCGUAGCGGGUCUGAGAGGACGAUCCGCCACACUGGGACUGAGACACGGCCCAGACUCCUACGGGAGGCAGCAGUGGGGAAUUUUGGACAAUGGGGGCAACCCUGAUCCAGCCAUGCCGCGUGAGUGAAGAAGGCCUUCG
rnacentral:rRNA from 1 species